AGUGAACGCUGGCGGUAGGCCUAACACAUGCAAGUCGAACGGCAGCACAGUAAGAGCUUGCUCUUACGGGUGGCGAGUGGCGGACGGGUGAGGAAUACAUCGGAAUCUACUUUUUCGUGGGGGAUAACGUAGGGAAACUUACGCUAAUACCGCAUACGACCUACGGGUGAAAGCAGGGGAUCUUCGGACCUUGCGCGAUUGAAUGAGCCGAUGUCGGAUUAGCUAGUUGGCGGGGUAAAGGCCCACCAAGGCGACGAUCCGUAGCUGGUCUGAGAGGAUGAUCAGCCACACUGGAACUGAGACACGGUCCAAAAUCCUACGGGAGGCAGCAGUGGGGAAUAUUGGACAAUGGGCGCAAGCCUAAUCCAGCCAUACCGCGUGGGUGAAGAAGGCCUUCGGGUUGUAAAGCCCUUUUGUUGGGAAAGAAAAGCAGCAGGUUAAUACCCCGCUGUUCUGACGGUACCCAAAGAAUAAGCACCGGCUAACUUCGUG
rnacentral:rRNA from 1 species